rnacentral:lncRNA from 1 species
UUAUUAUAUUUAGGUUAAGAUUUUAUAUAUAGUAUUCGAUACGAAAAUCGGACGUUAUAAGAACGAGCAAAAUGAUCGAAACCGUACCGAAAUAGGGUUUAGAACGAACGGAAGUGGACCAAGUUCUGAUACGCUGUGAAACCAUUGAUUACGCUAAGAGCGUGUUUUGUUCGGGAUUAGAAUGGGAAUGGAAAAUAGAAUUGAAUUGUGUUGGAAUGAAAAAUAAGAUGAUGAAUCAUCCAAAAAUAUUUGGUUUAUUAUUCGGAAUGGGAAUCGGAAUGGACAAUUCAGACAUUUUUAGGGUUUUGAGAAAGUGAGUAGUUUAUUGCGGAAUGAGCGAAUCCAGAAUUCAAAACUAGAUUGAGUCGUUCUCAUUCCAGAGUGGAAUGAAAAUCGGAAUUCAAUUCCUGUUAAACAAUCAGUAAA